GCGAGUGAGCGGGAAAGCUCAAAUUUAAAAUCUGGUGGUCUUUGGCCAUCCGAGUUGUAAUCUAGAGAAGUGUUACCCGCGUUGGACCGUGUACAAGUCUCCUGGAAUGGAGCGUCAUAGAGGGUGAGAAUCCCGUCUUUGACACGGACUACCAAGGCUUUGUGGUGCGCUCUCAACGAGUCGAGUUGUUUGGGAAUGCAGCUCAAAAUGGGUGGUAAAUUCCAUCUAAAGCUAAAUAUAGGCGAGAGACCGAUAGCGAACAAGUACCGUGAGGGAAAGAUGAAAAGAACUUUGGAAAGAGAGUUAAACAGUACGUGAAAUUGCUGAAAGGGAAACGCUGGAAGUCAGUCGCGUUGGCUAGGAAUCAACCUUACUCUUUUGUAGGGCUUACUUUCUAGUUGACGGGCCAACAUCAAUUUUGAUUGCUGGAAAAGGGCCUAGGGAAUGUGGCACCUUCGGGUGUGUUAUAGCCUUGGGUCGUAUACAGUGGUUGGGAUUGAGGAACGCAGCACGCCGAAAGGUUGGGUCUUUGACCACACUCGUGCUUCGGAUGUUGGCAUAAUGGC
rnacentral:rRNA from 1 species